GUUACACAUUCAUGCCAAUAAAGCUAAUUUGAAUUGAAUUUGAAUUAAAUGCAGCUUGAUUAGUAAAGUAUGGCACAUGGGUAAUGUGUUGAUAAAUUAUGGAUCAGCUUGAUUAUAUUGUAACAUGAAUGGUUAUGAGUGUAUAUUGUACUGCUAACUGCUCUAUGCCAAAUUCAAGGUUCUUAGAAGAACCUUGUUCUUAAGGGGGGGAUGUUACGACCCCUUCCUUCUCCUGCAGGAGGCUGCAGGCAGGGAGGCUGAUUGGGCUGCACCUGUGCAGCUCUCUUCAGAGCUUAUUUAGCCAGGACUGAUCAGUGUUUUGUCUUCCAACCAACGAUACUUCAACAAAACUACAAGCUCGUGCAGAUUGUUCUGCUCUGGACUACAUAAUGUUGGUUAUGCGUGUGGCUGAACUCCUCCUAAUUACUGUGAUUACUGUUCUUCUCAUCAGAGCUCGAGAGACUACCUGACAACAACACAGUGACCUACAGCAGCGUGAAAGCUUCCUCUUCUUCUGCU